UGUUCUGUAGCUUAGUUGGUUAAAGCGUCGGACUAGCGAUAACGGAGUCGUGGGUUCGAAUCCCACCAAAACAA
rfam:Aedes albopictus isolate Foshan contig121763, whole genome shotgun sequence.